rnacentral:rRNA from 1 species
UACGGAGGAUGCAAGCGUUGUCCGGAUUGACUGGGCGUAAAGCGCACGCAGGCGGGGGUGCGCGUGGGGUGUGAAAUCUGGCCGCUUAACGGCCAGGCGCCAUCCCAUACGGCACGCCUGGAGCCUUGCAGAGGUCGGUGGAAUUGCCGGUGUAGUGGUGAAAUGCGUAGAGAUCGGCAGGAACACCCAGGGGGAAACCAGCCGACUGGGCAAGUGCUGACGCUGAGGUGCGAGAGCGUGGGGAGCGAACCGG